AUGGCCUUUGAUGGAUGCUGUCCUGAUUGUAAACUUCCUGGGGAUGACUGCCCGUUGAUUUGGGGUGUGUGCAAUCAUGCAUUUCAUUUGCAUUGUAUCUUGAAAUGGGUGAAUUCUCAAACCUCACAAGCACAUUGCCCUAUGUGCCGUCGGGAAUGGCAAUUUAAAGAUUACAGAAGACAAGGGCAACUUGUUGGAGAAAAAGAAAUCUCAGAACAUUACAAAUGUUAUUUACAACCAAUGGAGGAAGAGUUCAUAAUAUAUCAAAUGGCAACAUUAAAGAAGGCUAUAACAAUGUCAACAUUAACAUUGUGUCAAAGCUAA